CACUACUCAGCACCAGGGUAACUUUAACACAGCUGCAUAGUUAUUUGAGAGUUCGGGGGAAAUCGUUAUUCUUUCAACCGUCCAUGCAGUCCAGCAGCUUUCAACAUGCAGUGGAAAUCAGGCGAUUUUGGAAGGGCUGACCCCCAAAUGGACCAUGGAAUCUAGCUGUCUUCAUGGAAGUAACUUAUCACAUGCUGAUGCUGCUUUUAGAGUAGGCUAUCCAUUCAAAAAUAAAGUAAACUGUCAAAUAAAUAAUUAUGUCGAACUGUUUUAUUUCAUUGCAUGGCUAUUUGUUGCCCAUUUUCUCUCAAUGCAACCC